UUCCUUGUGGAUAAUAUCCCAAUCAGAGUGUUCAAGAACAACAAGGACUUGGGAGUAAAAUUUCCAUUUAACCAAGCAAUGAAGGUAUACAACAGUCUAUGGAAUGCAGAUGAUUGGGCAACAAGGGGUGGUUUAGAGAAAACAGAUUGGUCAAAAGCACCAUUCAUAGCUGGAUACAAAAGUUUCCACAUUGAUGGUUGUGAAGCCUCUGUUAAUGCUAAGUUUUGUGGCACACAAGGUAAAAGAUGGUGGGAUCAACCUGAAUUUCGUGAUCUUGAUGCUGCUCAAUGGAGAAGAUUAAAAUGGGUGCGUAGGAAGUACACUAUUUACAACUAUUGCACUGAUAGAAAACGUUUACCUCAAAUACCACCUGAAUGUACAAGAGACCGUGACAUUUAAUUUUUCAUAUACUCUCUAUUUUUAAUAUUGCUUUACCAUUAAUUUUUCAUCUAUUUCUUGUAUCAUUAUUUAUUGCCACCAUACUAUGUAUCUGUGAUUCUAUAUUUAUUGGAUAUUUUCUAUUAAUGAUAAUAACAAUAUUUUAUUAUUGGAUUGCUACACUCAUUUCUAAUCUCUCCAAGCAAUUUCCGGGUUUUUGGAAAUUUAUUAUAAUAGCGGUGAAAAAAAUUAAUCAGUUAUGUAUUAAGCACAUGAGUGAAGAUCAUUUAAUAGUUUUAAACCCAGUUAUAGUCUUCUCAAUCAGACUAUUUGGUCCAUUAUAUAGUUACACUGUACAAGGACUAAAUUGUCUAUAAUUAAAAUAUUAUAAUGACUCCAAUAAUACACUUAAUUAUAAUGCAAAAUCAGCAUAGGUGUUCAUUGUUCUCAAUUUUCAGCCUAACAGGUUUGGAAGACAUUAAUUUAAUUUUGUUACACGAGUGUUUGUUUGUUUCGAAAGUUAUUGAGUUUAUUAUAAUCAAAUUAGAAUUGGUGUGGGCCGGUUGAGAAAUUUCUACCUAGUGUGAAAAUUAAAAUCAAUAAAACUAGUCCUUUGUAAUUUCUCACUUAAAGCAAAUUAAUUCCACUACAUUUAAAAGAACCCACUACUGUUUUUAGACAAACAUAGGCCAGAGAAAGUCUUGUAUAGACAUGGACACAUCAUCAUUUAAAAUCACACUUUAAAAGGAAAAAUAAAGUAGAAAAUAAAUAAUUAAAUAAUAUAUUUUAAAAAUAAUUAAAUAAUUUUUUUUGUGUGUACGUGUGUUAAAAUAAUAUUUAUUUGGGAUCGUGUCCAUAUAAGUAUUUUUUUAUAGGUCAUUGUCAUUCCACACUUUAAUAUAAUUUUUAUAUUAAUAGUAAUGUAGUAGUGUAUUGUUAUUAUAUAUUACUUUCUAUGCCGACAUAUAAAGAAAAAUAAAUGUUUUAUAUUUUUAGUUUUCAAUAAAAUAUUAAUUAUUUUUUUAAUUGUACCUUAUAAUUAAUAUUAUGUGCAUCACAAUUAAAUUAUAAUUAUCUUUUAUUUUGUAUAUUUUCGGAUAACAAUAAACACAUCAAUAAUAAACAAGAAUAAUUUAGUAAACUUAGUACUCUUUUAUUUAUGUUCAUUUUUUUGACAAAUAUGAAUGGAUGGAGUAAUAAGUAUAAUAAAUAGUGUACCAAUAAUAAUAAAAUAUUGUCAAAAAACCUCUGAGUUUCUUUUUUCAUAUCAAAAAAUUUUAAGAUGUCCUAAAUAAAAUUAAUUUUUUUUAGAUGUUGUCUUAAUUGUUUUGAAAAUCAAUACUACACUUGACUAUAUAACUCAAUUUUUAUUGGUGAUUAUAUCUUGUCUUGGUCCCUUAAAUCAAAUUAUUCUGCCUAUAAUUAUCAUAAUUCAGCGUCUACUUGUUAAAAUGUCACAUAUCUAUUUAAUAUCCAACUCAUAUAGAUAUCAAAACUGAUUUACUUAUUUACAAAAUUUAGGGAUUAAAAUUUUCGUUGUACUUUGUUAUUUCUAUAUAACCAAAUUCAUCAUUACUCAUAUCUAUUUUUUUCUUAAAUUAUUUUGGAAUAUAUUUCUCAUCAAAUUAGGUGCAUGUAUAUAUAAUGUAAAGGUUGUGUUAUAGGGUAGGUCGUUGUGGAUAAUGUAGCGAGUUCCUUCUUAAUUAUCUUCCAUCCACUACAACUGCCAUUGAUCAUAGCCAAAGUCACAUAGCCUAGUAACCCACAUGCACAAGCUUAGCAUCAUAUAUUUAUGAUCGACACAUGACCCAUGGGAAUAUAUAGUUUAUUGGAUUUGUGAAUUGUAUGAUUAGUAAAUUUAACUAUAAUCAUUUAUAAGAUCCCAUCAUUAUAUCUGCAUGUUAGUUGUUUUUUUAAACCUAUGCAUGUUAGUUGUAGUUGAAAUUAUUUGCGAUGAUUAUAUAAUUGUUGUAGGUUAUAUCUUUCUUUUUUUAAAUAAUCACGCGUAAUUAUUUUAAAUUCAUUUUACAUUAAAAUAUUUAAAUACUUACAGUAUAUUUCAGUUUUUAUUCAACUUUAAUGUAAAAUUAAUUUAUAGUGCAUCUUUUAAUUCACACUUAUACAUCUAUUUGUCUUAAAACAAUCAAAGCCAAAUUUUUUAUGGAUGUAAAUAAACAUAGAACUCUAUUGACUAAAUUGUGACAAUUAAAAAAAUUGAUAAUACUAUUAAUGUUUUUUUAAUAAAAUUGAUAUUACUUUAAAAAAAUUCCCUUUAAAGAGAGGAUAAGUUUAUGUUCCAUCAUAUAAUAUAUGUAUUGUUGACUGCAAAAAAAAAAAAGUAAAUAUAUUAGAAAAUUUAAAAUUAAUGACAUAAUAAAAAAAUAACAAAAAAUAAUUAAUGUAAUUUAAAAUUUGAAAAAAUGAUAUUAUAUAAAAAAGGACAAGAAAGUUUCUCAAAAGAAUCUUAUAUUUAAAGAUAAAUAAAAUAUUAUUAUUGUACUAUAAAAGUCAACACAACAUGUACAAAAAAAAUUAAUGCAAAUUUUUUUUUCUAAUUUAAAAAACUUCAUCUUAUAAGAUUACUACAGUGAGACGGAAAAUUAAUGAAAAUAUUAAUUUAUUUAAGAUAUUAUUAUGGAAAUUUUUCUAUCUCUAUUUUCUUCCUCUACAAAUUUCCCUAAAGAUUCAUAAUUCUAAAAUUAAAUAGAAGAAAAUCACAACAAAAGUUAAUAAUACUACUUAAAAAUUACAAAUUAGGUUUUAAAAUUGAGAAGGAGACAACCCAAAGUUAGAUGAAUUAGGAAUAAUACAUCUAUUGAUAAAAAAAAAAAAAAUUAUAUAUGCUUACAAUGGCUGCCAUAGAAUUCUCCAUUAAUUGUACCCAAAAUAAAAUUAUCCAUUAGUCAAACAUAUUCUCCAAAAUGUAAAUCAUGUUAAAAGAUAAUUAAUGUUUGAGUUAAUCAUAUUUUAAGUUUUAUAAUUUAAAUUGGUUGUCCGUUUUAGUCCCUUAAGCUUCUAAUUUUGUUUGUCUUUCAAUUUCUAAAAUAUGUUACAAUUAGUUUAUUUUAAUCCUUAGCUACAUUGUAGGUUUUCGUUGGACUUUGGUCUCUAAUAAUUAAUUUAUGUUCGAUUAAUUUCUUAAAAAAAUGUAAAAAUUAAAUAUAAUGUAGUGACAAAAAUGAGAAAAUUAUAGGAUGAAAACAAAGCAAUGAUGACCACCUGUAAUACGUUUUAAAAUAACAAGACAAACUUAAAAUUUAGAGAAAUAGAGUACCAAAUAGGAACUCUCAUCGGAGAGACUAUUAAGUGGGUGCUUAUUGGAGAUAAAUAUUUUAUUAAACACUAUCUCUAUUCGGUUACUAAAAAAACAUUAUUUCUAUCUAAGUGAUUCAAACAAUUUUAAUAUUAAAAUAUACAAGUGUAAUGAUACAAAGAUAUUAAAUGUUUAUUAAAUAUUAUCAUUAAAAAAUGAUAAAUUAAUAAUGAUUUUAAUUAAAAUUUACUAAAGUAAUUAAAAAUAAGCUUCACCACUAUAUAAAGUUAGAACACAACUAACUCGAGUAAAAGUGGCUUGAGUUGGUUCGCAAACUAUGAAUAAAAAAUAUUUUUUAUUCUAAAAAAAUUAAAUUAAAUUUAAAUAUUAAAAUAUUAAAAUAUUUUAAAAAUUAUAAAAUUUUAUCUAAGCAAAUUAUUUAAUAUUUAAAAUACAUUAAUAAAUAUAAUAAAACACUUAAAUAAAUUUAAUUAAUAACAAAUUAUCAAAUAAAAUUUAAUAACUAAAUUAUAAUUAUACAUAAAUAAUAUAAAAAUAUUUAUGUUAUGUUAAUGAGUUGAAUUAAGAGUUCUGUGAAUUCAAAAUGUUAAAUUUGCUACACAAAGUAAACACCAUUAAAUUUAAAUGGAUUGAUUUGAAUUAUAUAUAAACUUAAACGAGUGAAUCAAAACACAUGUGAGAUCGCAAUUCAUUUAUGUCCGAAACUCCUAUUUAUCACUAGUGCUUAUGCUCUUACGAAACUAAAAACAUGAUUUAAUCCAAAUUAUUCCUCUUAUCAAAAUGAGUUGUCAUUGGUUGUUACAUUGAAUGAAUUAAAAUCAUCAUGCAUAAUCACAAAAAGAAAAAAAACAACGAGUACUAAUGUAAUGACACCCAUAUACACAUUUUGAUGGUAAAAUUAAUAUAGUACUCUAAUUGAGAAAUGAUGAAUGAUUAGCUAAUAGGGUCCCAAUAUCAGCUGGUUAUCCAACACUAAAAUCACAACAGAGGCUAAUACAUGAUUCUUGCUUCCCACCCUCCAAGAAAUAAAAUUAUAACAACAAGAUAAGUAUUAAAGAAAGAGAGAGGAACAUGGGUCUAACCCUCUAAAACAUAGUCUUUUUUAGGCUUAUAAAAACCCAAGUUUAGCCACAAGCAUUUUCACAACAACACGAAAAUGAGUUCUAGUUUUUCAUUUUGGACUCUCUGUCUCAUUUUAGCAUCACUAGUCUCUUCUUCUUUCUGUGCUGCUCCAAGGAAACCAGUGGAUGUUCCAUUUGGCAGAAACUAUUACCCAACUUGGGCUUUUGAUCAUAUCAAAUACUUCAAUGGUGGUUCUGAGAUUCAGCUUCAUCUUGAUAAAUCCACUGGUUAGUUUUUAACUAAUUAAAGUUCAUGUUUUUAAACUUGUUUUUACAUUGUUCAUUUUUCUAAGUUCUAACAUCUUUUGAAAAAUGAAUAGGUACUGGUUUUCAAUCCAAAGGUUCAUACUUGUUUGGUCAUUUUAGUAUGAACAUUAAGAUGGUUCCUGGUGAUUCAGCUGGAACAGUCACUGCUUUCUAUGUAUGUAUAUUUUUUUAUGAUUCUAUCUUAGUAUUUGGUUAGAUUUGUGAGUGUGACAUUUGGUAUAUUUUACAGUUAUCUUCAACAAAUUCUGAGCAUGAUGAAAUAGAUUUUGAGUUCUUGGGGAACAGAACAGGACAACCUUAUAUUUUGCAAACAAAUGUGUUCACUGGUGGUCAAGGUAACAAAGAACAAAGGAUCUUUCUUUGGUUUGAUCCUACAAAAGAGUUCCACAGAUACUCCAUUCUAUGGAAUAUGUACCAGAUUGUGUAAGUACUUGAAACUCAUCUAUUGUGCCAUUCCCCUUAAUCCAAAACAAUCUUGCAUACCCUUUUCACCAUUCCAUUAUACACCCCCAAAAUCUAUUUCCCUUUUUAGAUUUUAUUAAAUUUUUUUAUUGGCCAAAUUCAUCCGUUCAAUCAUUUUUUAUAAAUUUUUGUUUGUGUUUUUUUUUUUACACAAUACUAUUAGAGUUAGUGCAUAUAUAUAAUUGGUGGGCGACUAAAUUAAUAUGCUAUGAUAUUGUAUUGGAUUUGUUUUAUAUUUGGUAAAAAAUGAUUUUUGUUUUACAAUGCUUAAGGAUAAAAAUCCAAAUGGGGUUCUAGAUUUUAAAUCAUGACAUUUUUUGGGGGAAAAAGAAAAUCAAAUAUCACAUGAACAGAGAUAAAGCUGGAAAAUAGUUACACAAGAAGCUGAUUUUUAAGAAUUAAUUAGACCUUAUGUAAAAAUCUAGUUUACAUUGUAGCUAAUAUUAUUUUAGAUAAAUAAAUGUUAGUAAAUUAGUGACAUUGUUAAAUUUUUAUGUUUGAACUAAGAACCUCCUUUUAUAAACUUCUUAGAUGUAUGAAAAUAUGGCUAAUGUGAUCUCAAUUGCAAUUGUAUUUUAAUCCAAAUCCAAAUUUUGGUUACUAAUUUUCCUUAUAAUAUGAUAUGGGGUAUGCAGGUUUUUUGUGGACGAUGUUCCCAUAAGAGUAUUCAAGAACAGCAAGGAUUUGGGAGUAAAAUUUCCAUUUGACCAACCAAUGAAAAUAUACAAUAGUUUAUGGAAUGCAGAUGAUUGGGCAACAAGGGGUGGUUUAGAGAAAACAGAUUGGUCAAAAGCACCAUUCGUAGCUGGAUACAAAAGCUUCCACAUUGAUGGUUGUGAAGCCUCUGUUAAUGCUAAGUUUUGUGCUACACAAGGUAAAAGAUGGUGGGAUCAACCUGAAUUUCGUGAUCUUGAUGCUGCUCAAUGGAGAAGAUUAAGGUGGGUUCGUCAAAAAUUCACCAUUUACAACUAUUGCACUGAUCGAAAACGUUUACCUCAAAUACCACCUGAAUGUACAAGAGACCGUGACAUUUAAAUUUUCAUAUACUCUAUUUGGUCUAAUUUAUGUUAUGUUUUCAAAUACCAUGUCACAUUGUUGUCAAGGAU
rnacentral:lncRNA from 1 species